GUCCGUGUAGCGCAGUGCAUGGCGCGUUGGACUUCUAAUCCAAAAGCGGUGGGUUUGAAUCGCCCCAUGGAUC